rnacentral:lncRNA from 1 species
CCAAAAAAAGUUAGAAAUUACUGACCUUAUUUUAAGAUAACUAAGUCCCAGAGAGAAGACACCCACUCAUUUUCUAUAGCUUGGAAGUGGAAAAGUCAAGACUAGAACCCAAUCUCUCAAAUUUGGUUUGGUUGUAUUUACGUUGUCCCAGACAGUCUCUUUCUUCACUACCAUAUCUCUCUAAAUAGUAUACAUUUUGGCCUUUCCCCUAUUUAAUAUUUGGGAAAGGAUCUGAUCAGAUGUCCUUAAGACUAGGGACAUCAUUGACAAAAUACAGAAAGGAGUUUUUAAAUAAUAAAGGAUUUUAAAAUGAGGAAUAUUUUUAAAGGGCUUAUUUAAAAAGUCUUUUCUGUAUUUAGUCUAUGGUGUCUCUAGCCCUUUCUGUGCAGGGAAGUCUUCUGAGCUCUAAAUCAUUCCACUGAUAUAUUUUCAAAUAACUCUAACCACUAUUGCUGGGGUAAAAGGUUUAAGCUACACAGGUUAGGUUUUUAAUUAUAGACACUCUAAAAUGAACUCUAUUUAAUUUAGACAGAAAGUGAUUAAUUAAAGAUGAUUAGAUAAAUCACCAAAUCUCUAGGAGAGACAAAGAACCAAGCUUAAAUGUCACUCAGACAGAAACAACUUAGCCAAGAUCAAUGCCCAGUCAUACCAUGAGAGUAUUCUAGCAAAAACACUAGUAUAGUCAAUAUCCACCAUUCAAUACUUAUGACAUUUGGGAAUGCAUGUAAUAGUUUUCCCAGAUUCUCUAAAGGAAUGAAAUGACUCACUCAUAAUUAUUUCCAGAAUAUUCAAUCUUCCCAUAAUGGCUCCAGCCUCAUAUUGCUUUCUUCCAUCUCCAGACCUACAUUUUAUUAUGGAGCAACCAGCUGCACACAGAUAUAAGCUGACAACACCGUGUCUCAAUUAUACCAUGGGUCUCAUUUUUUGCCUCCGUAUUUCUCUGUGCUACAAGAAAGGCCUACCAGCAAACUUGGAACUGUGAUGGAGUUUGGUAAGUUGUAUCAUUGCAGAUCCAGCAGGAUCUUAACAAGGGCUGGCUACAGUAAAAUAGACUUUAAAUAAGAAAAAUGUCUUACUUGACUCUCAUAUCAAAAAAAAAAAAAGUGAACGAUCACUUAAAAACAGGAGAGAUGUGGGUAAGCAGUAUCACAUGUAGAAAAGAUUGAUAAAUUACAGCUGACUCUUAGCUCAAGCUCAGUGAAAAAUGAUCAGUAGCCACCAAAACCCACAAAAAACUAAAUAUUACCUUAGUGUGCAUUAAUGAAAGCAAACUGUCUAGAACAGUGGAGGUAAUAGUUCUAUCCUAUUCUGAUAUAAUCAGACCACUCCUAAAAUAGCUUAAGAAGUUCAGGCAGCUACAUUUCAGGAGAGAAUACAAUAAGAAAGCAUCAAAAAUGGUUAAAAAAAAAAGUCUUGACAAGAUAAAAUAGUUGAAAAAAACCGAGGAUGUUUAGUGUGUAGAAGAGAAGAAUAUGGGAGUUUUGAAUGGAGCAUAUCAUAAUUACCUAUAAAUAAUUCAGCGUCUGUUAGACAAAAUAAUAAUAAUACCUUAUUGAGUAAAUACUAUACACCAGCUACAGAGCCAAGUCCCUUAAUGUGAACAGAUUUAUCAACACAAUCCUAAAGGGAAGAAUUAUAAGCUGUGUAUGCAAACUCCCAAAAGACAUAUACUUGCUGAAUGUAAGAAAGACCAUUCAAAUUAUUGUUUUUGUCAAAAGCUAUUAAUAACAAGGACAGCAUAGGCAAGCAAAUACUUGUCCUUCUCAUGAACAUAUGAAAACAGAAGCUAGAGUAUUUAUGAUUGGGAUUGCUAUGGACUGAAUUGUGUGUCACUCCCCCAAAUUCAUUAUGUUGAAACACUAACCCUCAAUGUGACUGUAUUUGGAGGUGGGGCCUUACAGGAUGUGAUAAAAGUUAAAUGAGAUCAUAAGGGUGGGGUCCUAAUGUGAAACAGCUGGUGGCCUUGUAAUAAAAGGAAGAGGCACCAGAGCUUGCUUGCCUGCUCUCUCUCGUUCGCUUUCUCUCUCUCUCUUCCAUGUGAUGACAUGGUAAGAAGGCAACCAUCUGCAAGCCAGGAAGAAAGCCCUCAUCAGAAAAUGAACCCUGCUGGGACAUCGAUAUUGGACUUUCUGGCCUCCAGAACUUUGAGAGAAUCAAUUUCUGUUGUUUAAGCCACCCAGCCUGUGGUAUUUUGCUACAGCAGCCUGAGCAGACUAAAAUAGAAAUAUUAUAGAAGAGAUUUAAGUAAAGGAAGAAAAUUUAGGCUACAUCACAUUCUCAAAAUGUUUGAAAAAUCUCUGGGGGAUCCACAAAGGCAGGACUCCAGGCCAUCAACUCACUGGGUUCCAUGUUAAAAUGUUUUACAUAGAUAAUUUUUAUGUAAUAUUUUAUUUGAAUAAAUAUUUUGAAUAAUCUUAAACUAUUUGAAAAAAUAGUUGAAUUUAUUAAACUUUUUUAUCCUUUCCAAACUUGAAAUCAUAUGGUCAUAUAGCACUGUGGCUAAAAUUAAAGUGUCUGGAGUUCUACUUGUAUUCCAAACUUGAUUCUGUUACUCAUUAGCUCUUUGAUCUUGGACAGGCAAUUUAACACCUCAAUGCCUUAUUUUCCUUAUUUGUAAAAUGUAGAUAAUAUAGAAUCUACUUUAAGGUGAUGUCAUGAGGUAUAAGCAAGUUAAUAUAAACAAAGCAUUUAGCAAACUUUAAUACAUGUUAGUUAUUAUUAACAUUAUUAUGUGAAAAGCUACAAUGUUAGUGUAUAGGAAUUUACAAAUUCACCCUGUGAUUAGUUUCUCAUUCUUCAGGUAUCCAUCACUAAUAUAAUCUCUUUGCUACCAUAUACAGGGAUCUCAUCACCUUCCUUCUGAAAAGGACAAGACAUGUAUUUCAGUAGCACAUGACUGUGAAGGAACUAAAAUAGUUAGUAAUUCUAAUGCUGGAUGUAUCUUUAUUGGGGAAAAGUAAGAAAAUCUACUUUGCUUCACUUUCUGUAUUUGUAUAUAUUCACCAAUGUGAUGUGUCUUAGAAAGUACUAAAGAAUUCCCUUCUCCAAACCAUUUUCCUAUCCCUGCCUAUUAUUCUUUCCUGUCCCACUAAUUGGAAUUCUAUUACUUAGGUCAGGAACUGGUAAAGUAUGACAUACAGACCAUAUCUUGCCUUUAUAUACCAUAAAUAAUAUGUUUAGAGUAUACAAUUCAAUUAUGUUUACAAUAUUUACAGAGUGAUGCAACUAUCAUAAUAAUGAAAUUUUGGAACAUGCACAGAAGGCUAAAAAUAAACCACAAGCAGUCACUCCGUAUUCCCCUCCCCUCCCCACUCCUGGACAACAACUAAUAUACUCUCUGUCUUUAUAGAUUUGUUUUUCCAUUCUGAACAUUCCAUGUAAAUGGAAUCAUACUAUAUGUUGCCUUUCUGUGACUGAAUUAUUUCACUUUUGUAAUGUUUUCAAGGUUCAUCCACAUUGUAUCAUGUAUCAGUACUUCGAUAUGUUUGUUGCCUAAUAAUAUUCCAUUUUAUGGAUAAACCAUAUUUCAUUACAUCAUUUGUCAGUACAUGGAUAUUUGCAUU